rnacentral:tRNA from 1 species
GGCCCCGUCAUCUAGUGGCCCAGGAUACGGCCCUUUCAAGGCUGUUACACGGGUUCGAAUCCCGUCGGGGUCA